UGGAGUGCUUUUGCAGAGGGGGAAACACCCGUUCCCUUUCCGAAUACGGCAGUUAAGCCCCUCGUGGUCGAUGGUACUACGCUGGCAACGGCGCGGGAGAGUAGAACAGCGCUCCAU
rnacentral:rRNA from 1 species